AAAAAAAAUGCCUAGGAGACUUUUUUCAGUGACUUUUCUUCCUAUCCUCUUUAUUGGUGUGAGCCUUGUGUGGGUUUGUCUGCCUCAGCUGACGACUCCUGUACUCCCUACCCGGAAACUUUCUAUACACUGAUAUGCUUCUGCUCUAUAAAUUGUCUAUGGCUAUGCACCCAAUCUCAUCUGAUCUUUUCUACAAACUAACUUUGUUCAUGGCUGAGGAACUUGAUCAGAUAUCUCCCCAGUAGCCGACAGGAAUGCUUAUUAGGGUAGUGAAUACCAUGACCCAAAAAUGAGAGUUAAUUUUGGAAAUUGGAGCCACACUGCUCUGGAGGCAGGUGCAGGCCCCACUCAGAACAGCAGCCAACCUUACCCCCAGGCAGAGCCCUGUGCUGCUGAACUUUGGGGAGGAAGGAAGACACACAGUCUUCUAUUCCAGCAGUAUUUGAUGGAAACCAGUGGGAGGAGAGAGUCUCUGCAGCUUUGACAUCAAACUGAUAGUACAUGGCUGAUAUCACUGGGCAGUUGGAGCAGCAGAUGAGGACUACUUCACUGGCUGCAUUUAGUCAGCGGGUUACACAUGAACAUGGACUCCUGCAAUGUCCUGCCCAAAAGCACAGAGCCACCAUCUCCUGCCAAUCAACUGUAAUAAUGUGAGGAGCUCAUGGUGCCCCCUAGAGCUAGGAAUACCAAAGGAGACCACCCAGGACCGAAACAAGACAGGAUUAGAAUGACCACAGGAACCCAGUAAAUCACCAAGCACUGCUCAGCUCUGGUAUGAUGGUGCACGGGAUUGAACCUGGGACUUCAAAGCCUCAGGCAUGAGGGUCUCUUUGCAUAACCACUACGCUAUCUACCCCCGCUCAGAACAAGUUGCUUAAUAAUCAAGAACAUAAAGCCACCAAGUUGCGGACAUUACUAGGAUUCCAUCCAGACUUUCCUGGGCAAAUGACCUCACCAGUAUGUCCCUAAGUCUCACCUCUCCAGAGCCCUAGCCCUCUAGGCUGGGGGUAUGCAUCAACCUGCUAACACCUAUGUCCAGCGGAGAAGCAAUUACAGAAGCCAAACCUCCCACUUUCUGCAUCCCAUAAAAAGUUUUGUUCCAUAUUCCCAGGGGGAUAAAGAAUGGGAACUUCCCAAUUGAGGGGAUGGGACAUGGAACUCUGACGGUGAGAACUGUGUGGAAUUAUACCAGUUAUAUUAUAAUCUUGUUGAUCAUUAUUAAAUCACUAGUACUUUGUUAAAAAAAAAAAAGCAGUAUUAUGAACCAUAUAAUCAGCAUGGUUCCUAUUUCAGUUCAGAAAUGAAUAUAGACUAAAAUAAAUACUGGAAGGAUAUACAUCUA